GUUAUCGCGGAAUAACAUCACGGCUGUGAUUUGGUCGCAGGCAGGAGCCGAAGGCAAACUAACUGUUAAUAUUGUACAAGUACGCGCUGAUUCACGCCCUUUUCCGUUUCAGUGAAGUUAGAUGAAAGCAGAAAAAGGCUAUAAUCGCUGUUUUGUAAAAAGAACCGAGAGAGGAUUAGAGAGGACUAAUUUACAGAGGCUUGCCGGUGGUGUCCAAGGUGUUCAAAGAAUGUACUGGGGACACCUUAAAAUAUGCUACACACAGGGGAUCAAGGGUGGAGAAUACAGAGACGCUUUAAUGGACUUCUCGACUUUUUUCAUUUUUUGUUCAUUCACUUGAAUUGAUUUAUAAUAUUAGUAAUAAUAAUAAAAAUUUAUUAAGUCGA